UUGUAAUGGGUGAUCCAGGGAGGUUCAGGCAGAUUAUUACAAAUCUUGUGGGCAACUCUAUUAAGUUUUAGGUUCACCGAACGAGGACAUAUAUUUAUCCACCCCCUCACUUUUUAGAUGUGGUUCAAGUAAGAUGAUGAAGACCCACAUCAUUGCUGCUGCAGCUUGGAAACCAUGACCAGGUGUGUUGCACAGCUGCUGUAUUUCAGAUAGGCAUAUGCUCAGCUAGGCGAAUUUUGGUUAUCUUGGAUUCCUCUGUUCAAGUUAUCACAUGGCUCAAAUUAAGG